UACGUAGGGGGCUAGCGUUGUUCGGAAUUACUGGGCGUAAAGCGCGCGUAGGCGGAUCUGCAAGUCGGGUGUGAAAUCCCGAGGCUCAACCUCGGAACUGCCUUCGAUACUGCGGGGCUCGAGUCCGGGAGAGGUGAGUGGAAUUCCUAGUGUAGAGGUGAAAUUCGUAGAUAUUAGGAAGAACACCAGUGGCGAAGGCGGCUCACUGGCCCGGUACUGACGCUGAGGCGCGAAAGCGUGGGGAGCAAACAGG
rnacentral:rRNA from 1 species